UUUGACCCACGAAGACAGACUUACCCAACAGAGGAACAAGGAAGCCUGAGUACAGUGUGGUGUCUGUCAUCUAGAUCCAUCCUCCAGCCGGAUAACCUGAAUCUGGAAAAAAGGAAAAAGAAAAACUGACCAUCAGACCAUGACUUCCAACUCUUGCUUACAAAAUAUGCUCAUAACACAUAUGUGACUUCGCUAGCAUUUACUUUGUGAUACCAAUCCAGAAAUGGAGGCAAGGGAAAGUGAGGAGUAAGCACUCCCAGGCAAAGCUGUGACACAGAAUGAUGCUUCUUUGAACACAACUGUGAUGGUACUGAGUGGUGGCUCAAGUUUAUGCAGUUUGUACUUGGAAGCUGUAAUGGUGUGUGAUUCUUAGGGGAGUCCAUUGUAAGGCCUGGUUUCUACCUGGGAUGUGGACCAGCUCAGGAACAUUCGUGCAAGAUGUGGUUAGGUUGAGGCCACUCUGUCUCUCCCACACCUGCUUCUCAACAUGGACAUCUGCCUUUGCUCUUUCUGCUACUUACAUGCUUGCCUCCUACAGUCAAUCCAGCAAAUCAGAAAUACUA